rnacentral:rRNA from 1 species
AUUGAACGCUGGCGGCGUGCUUAACACAUGCAAGUCGAUCGGUAACAGGUGUAGCAAUACAUGCUGACGAGAGGCGGACGGGUGAGUAAUGCUUGGGAAUCUGCCUAUUAGUGGGGGACAACCCGGGGAAACUCGGGCUAAUACCGCAUACGCUCUACGGAGGAAAGCCGGGGACCGCAAGGCCUGGCGCUAAUAGAUGAGCCCAAGUCGGAUUAGCUAGUUGGUAGGGAACGGCCUACCAAGGCUUCGAUCGGUAGCCGGCCUGAGAGGGCGGACGGCCACACUGGGACUGAGACACGGCCCAGACUCCUACGGGAGGCAGCAGUGGGGAAUUUUUCGCAAUGGGGGAAACCCUGACGAAGCAACGCCGCGUGGAGGAUGAAGGCCUU